AUGAAGACCAAGGAAUCCCAAACCGCCGAUCUCCAAGAAAUACUCAAGCUACAGCAAGAAGAAACCUCUAAAGCCAAAGAAGAGCUCAAGGGUGCCUUGGCAACCAUGGAAAAACUUAAAGAGGGCUUCAAAACAGACCGCACCAACUGGGAAACUGAAAGGGCUGUUUUAUUAAAGCAGGCAGAAUAUUAUGAAGCAGCCCUUAAACCAGUGGAAGAAGAACUGACGGGUCUGAAGCAUCAAGUGAACUCCAUGACGGCUGCCGUGUUUGGUCAGUACCUUGGAACACAUGCUCUGUAA
rnacentral:rRNA from 1 species